AACUUGCAUUGGUAAUUUUUCCACUCUAAAAAAAUGAGCGACAACACCUUACUACAAGCCCUUCACUCUCUCUCUCCUUGCCGAAGACUAACCGCGAGACUGAGUGAGAGUGGAAAGCGCAAUUAUUACAAAGUGUUGGCCUAAUCCCAUUUUAACAGCACCCUAAUAAUAUAAUUACAGACAAUAUCAUACGCCCUAAUCCUGUUUUGCAUAAAACAUUUGCCAGUCAGAUUUCAGAAGAAGCAGAACAUUCUCUUCUUCUUCCCACCCUCCAUCCCAAAUUAAAAAAUCGCUUUUUUAAUUCUUCUUUCCUUUUGGGUCAGAAAGAAAUCAACCCUCUUCUUUAUAGUACAACAGACAUAAUUCAUCUUCUCUAUACUCAGGAAUGCUGUUCCAUUGGAUACUUGUGUGAUUGACUUUUAGAGGAUUAGUAGCUGGACCUGGUGGCAUCAGUGAUGGAGUUUUUUUUUGCUGUUCUGGCCUUCGUUUGUUUGCUUCCUUGCGGUUUGGCCGAUUUUCAAGGCGUGGCGCUAUAUGCAGUGAAACAAUCAUUGCAGGCUUCAGACAAUCAGCUGCGUGAUUGGAAACCCAAUAUGGUUAAUCCUUGCACUUGGUCAAAUGUUAUGUGCGACCCCAGUAACAAUGUUAUUUCUGUGACAUUGUCUUCCAUGGGAUUAUCUGGAUCAUUGUCACCUAAAGUCGGCACUCUGAAGACUCUUUCAACGCUGUCUCUGCAAGGGAAUGCUAUUACUGGCAAAAUUCCUAAGGAACUUGGAAAUUUGUCAAGUCUAACAAGCCUGGAUUUAGAGAAUAAUCGUUUUACUGGUGAAAUACCAUCCUCCCUCGGUAAUCUUAAAAAUCUUAAAUAUUUGACUUUGAGCUAUAACAAUCUCUCUGGGACUAUCCCUGACUCGCUGGCUUCCCUUGAUAACUUAAUUAGCCUCCAGCUCUCUUCAAAUCAACUCAGUGGCCCAAUUCCUCAGAAGCUCUUUCAAAUCUCUCAAUACAAUUUCUCAGGGAAUCAAUUGAGCUGUGGUAGAGAUCUUCGCCAUCCUUGUGUAGCUGAAGCUAAUAGUGAAGGUUCUUCGAAUAAAACAAAAGUUGGAGUUAUAGUUGGAGUAGUUGGAGGGCUUAUUGGUAUAAUACUGGUUGGAUGUGUGCUGUUUUUCAUUUGCAAGAGUAGAAUUACAAGAUACAGGCGUGAAGUCUAUGUUGAUGUUGCAGGUGAAGUUGAUCGUACAAUUGCAUUUGGGCAGCUGAAACGAUUCGCUUAUAGGGAGCUGCAGAUAGCAACAGACAAUUUCUGUGAGAAAAAUGUUCUUGGUCAAGGAGGUUUUGGCAAGGUUUACAAAGGUGUGCUAGGCGACAAUACAAAGGUUGCAGUGAAACGAUUAACUGACUAUGAGAGCCCUGGAGGAGAUGCAGCUUUUCAGCGUGAAGUUGAGAUGAUAAGUGUUGCUGUACAUAGGAAUCUAUUACGUUUAAUAGGGUUCUGCACUACACCAACAGAGAGACUAUUGGUGUAUCCAUUCAUGCAAAACCUUAGUGUAGCUUAUCGUUUACGGGAGUUGAAACCUGGAGAGUCUAUUGUAGAUUGGCCUACACGAAAACGAAUAGCUUUGGGCACUGCACGUGGACUAGAAUAUCUGCAUGAACACUGCAACCCUAAGAUCAUUCAUCGUGAUGUUAAGGCUGCUAAUGUAUUGCUAGAUGAAGACUUUGAAGCAGUAGUGGGUGAUUUUGGCUUAGCAAAACUGGUAGAUGUUAGGAAAACUAACGUGACCACUCAGGUGCGCGGAACAAUGGGUCACAUAGCACCUGAGUACUUGUCCACUGGGAAGUCCUCAGAGAGGACAGAUGUCUUUGGUUAUGGAAUUAUGCUGCUAGAGCUUGUGACAGGUCAACGGGCCAUCGAUUUUUCACGUUUGGAAGAAGAAGAUGACGUCUUAUUGCUUGAUCAUGUUAAGAAGCUGCAAAGAGAAAAAAGAUUAGAUGCAAUUGUUGAUAAAAAUCUGAAUAAGAAUUAUGACAUUCAAGAAGUGGAGAUGAUGAUCCAAGUUGCAUUGUUAUGUACUCAAGCUUCACCAGAAGAACGCCCAGCAAUGUCAGAGGUGGUGCGGAUGCUUGAAGGAGAGGGUCUUGCUGCAAGAUGGGAGGAAUGGCAGACUGUGGAAGUCACUCGCAGGCAAGAACAUGAAAGAAUGCAUAGAAGAUUCGACUGGGGUGACGAUUCUAUUCAUAAUCAGGAUGCUAUUGAGUUGUCCGGUGGAAGAUAGGACUAAUGAUGGAGGCCUCCACUCUGCCGCCCCUCCCCUUUGUCGUAGGAUUUAAGAAGGGCUAUAGAUUUUGUGGUUCUUCAUCCAGAGCUUCUACUAGUUGAUACCUUCCUCCAAGGUUGGAUUUUCGCAUUGUUUUGCUUUCUAUCUGGUUGAAGCAUAGUUGCCACUACACGCUUCUUCUCAUCUUUCUUGUUACCGAACUCAUUCUCUGCUAGAAGAUAUUUUGGUAUGGAUUCCAUGUCUCUAAACUCCAUCUCUCUAAAGCUGAUGCCACUUUCUUUGUAAUCUACACCUGCCAUGGCUAAUGCAUCAAUCGACAUGACUAAACCUCGGAACCUCUCUCGCUCUUGCUCUUUCUAUCUGUUAUUUUAGCUUUGUAUUCUUUGAAGAUAUUUUAUGAUCACUGAUAUCCUGGAAUGCAAGAUUGUUGGAUACAUUUAUAAGGAGGAAGAAGGAUAAGGGGGGCAAAUGGUGAAUGUAUGCAUUCAUUGCAUUUAAGACUGCCUCCACCCAGCCACCCUCCAGUCGCCUGCUCUGCCUCUGUUGCUUGCCUGCUUGAUGCUUUCCUGCUCCGUCUCUGUGGUCCCUGCUCUUCGCCUCUUCGCAAUCGCUUCGACGCAAUUGCUAAUUCACUAUUAACGCUUCCUCUUCGCUCAUCGGCUCACGCUCACGCCUCGUCGCCUCCAGUGCUGGCCCUGCUGUUGGCCCUGCUGCUCCGCCUACUCGCCUCAAUCAGCGUCUGCCGUCUGGCAAGGUAAUCAUCAAUUUAUUCUUUUUUUUUUGUGUGUGAAUUUCUGAUCAAAUUUGCAUUACUUGUUGCUUAAAAUUAGUAUAUACGAUGAAUGUUCAUUGAAUUUGCAUUAUUUGUGUUUUGACUGUUAAAUUGAACUUAUUAUUUUAUGUGAUGCCGGACAUUGUAUAAGACAGCUAUUAGUGUAAGGAGGAUUAUAAAUUUAUAAUUAGAUUACAGUGUGGACUGGUUAGUGGUGCUAGUCGCAUAUUCGGCUGGAAGUUCCGUAUAGACUAGGCGGAUUCAGGAAUUGUAAAACAGUGUCUGAAUUGUGGUUACAUAAACCUUAAAUCAUUCUUAAGUUUUUUCUUGUGAUUGUUGCUGUAAAUUGUUUAAACUGUUAUUACACGGAGAACAGUAGUUAGGGUGUUUAUUAGCUUGUUAGUUAUUAGUUUGUUAAUUUUAGUCUUGUAAUUUCAGAAUGAAGAGAAAACGCAUUCCAAAUGAAAUGCAAAACAUUACUAGCUUUUUUGCUAAAAAGAAUCCUACUCCAACUUCUCUUCCACAUCCAACACAAAAUGAACAAACUAUAUCUCAACCUCAAGAAAGUGAACAACAUUCAUCUCCAUCUCAUUAUUCAACUUAAAAUUCCCCUCAAAAUGAACAAGACCAAUGUUCUCCUAAUGCCCCAAUCUUUGAUGAAAGAUUAAGUGAACAUGAAUUUGCUAAUCUUCCACAAGAUCCAGGAAAGAGGAGAAAGAUGAGUGAAUUUCAUAAAGAUGAUAGAGAUUUAGUGAGAAGAAUUUACAUUCAAAGAAAGCCUUGUCAGCCCAAAGACUUUGUAUUUCCUCAAACUUCUAUUUUUGGCAAAAACCGUCGCUUUUGUGCUAAGUGGUUUGGUACUUGGACUUGGCUUGAGUAUAGUGUGGAAAAGGAUGCUGCCUAUUGGUUGUAUUUUGUAUUGUUUGAAUAUUUGGAUGU